rnacentral:misc_RNA from 1 species
AAGUCGUAACAAGGUUUCCGUAGGUGAACCUGCGGAAGGAUCAUUAACACGUAUCCAAACGUUAAACCCCCCUGUGAACCUUCAGUGUACUCGUACGUCCGUUAGAAAAAGCAGCAAUCCCUGGUAAAUCAUCGCCGAACAGUUUUCGAUUCAGGGACGUCUGCAAGGAGCGUGCAUGUUGUGCGAAGCAAGUGGCCUGGCAUCCCCAAGCAGUUAGUGUCUGAAAGUGUCAUUAACUGUGUAAGGAUGACGCAGUCACGAUCGUUGGAGGCCCACACGGCCGACGACCGGGUCACUGGGCGCAAGCCCCCCUAUAACGCGAUAAUACGCAGUCGACCAAAAACCGAACAACUGUUAACAAUGGAUAUCUUGGUUCUC